GACGAACGCUGGCGGCGUGCUUAACACAUGCAAGUCGAACGGAAAGGCGCCAGCUUUCUGGAGUACUCGAUUGGCGAACGGGUGAGUAACACGUGUGUAAUCUGCCCUUCACUCUGGGAGAAGCCUGGGAAACUGGGUCGAAUACUGGAGAUGACCUUUCUCCUUAUGUGGUUUGGUGGAAAGUGUUUCGGUGUAGGAUGAGUCCGCGGCCUAUCGGCUUGUUGGUGGGGUGAUGGCCUACCAAGGCGACGACGGGUAGCCGGCCUGAGAGGGUGAUCGGCCACAUUGGGACUGAGGUACGGACCAGAAUGCUACGGGAGGCAGCAGUGGGGAAUAUUGCACAAUGGGCGGAAGCGUGAUGCAGCGACGCCGCGUGAGGGAUGCCGGCCUUCGGGUUGUAAACCACUUUCAGAAGGGACGAAGCGUACGUGACGGUACCUGAAGAAGAAGCAACGGCUAACUACGUG
rnacentral:rRNA from 1 species